GGUGGGAUGGCCGAGUGGUUGAAGGCGCGACUCCCGAAAAGUCGUAUAUCCGAAAGGGUAUCUAGAGUUCGAAUCUCUAUCCCACCG
rfam:Parcubacteria group bacterium CG1_02_44_65 cg1_0.2_scaffold_25647_c, whole genome shotgun sequence.